rnacentral:sRNA from 1 species
GAGUUUAUUUUGUUUUUCUUUGCCAUGAUUAGUUGUGUUGUUUUUUUUCUUGGUAUUUUCAAGUUGUGCUCAUUAAUGGUUUAAUGAAUUUUUUUUUUUUGGAUGAAACUGUCAUUGAGGUUUUGUGUCAAUGGCUUUGAUGGCACCACCAAUCUGUGGUGUGACACACUGUCUUUGAGGUUUUGUGUCAAUGGCUUUGAUGGCACCACCAAUCUGUGGUGUGACACACUGUCUUUGAGGUUCGACAUGCCUACCAGUUUGAUGUGACAUUGUCCAGUAGUUGUGGCAACCUUUUUAUUAUAUCUCAGCAUUUUGUUUUCAAUGAGACUUGUUGCUUGAAAAGUGGUGGAGUUAUUUAUUGAGUGCAUGCCAGCUGGGUUUUUUUUUUCUUAGUGUGUCAGCUGGGUUUUGUCUGUGUUAGAAAAAUAAAGGCUGUGCCUUAACAAUGACUCACUGUGUUUGAUUCCUUGACCUUUUCGCUACAUCUGACUGUUGUUACCUCCAUCUACAUUUACCACUUAAGAAAACUGAGUAGAAAAGAAUAUUUCUUACAAAACACAAAGUGUUGCAAUAUUUAUCAUGAGCUAACAUCUGAUAGAUAACAAAGGUAAUUCAAAUUUGUUUGAUAUAUCAAGUUAAUAAACUUAGCAUUCACCAUAUUGCCUUUAAGACCAUGUAGCUAUCUCAAAAAUUGUCUAUACAUUUAAAUUAAAGAGAAGAUUUUUUAGAGUAUUUUGGUCUAACCUCCUGACAAACUGUUGGUCUAAUUAGGUUUUCUGUUCAAUUCUUUCUUUGCAUUUCAAGUUACUUUCCAUCAAAUACUCUCUAGAUGUGAAUACAAUCUUUGCCAAGGACAAGAUAUUUCUUAGCAGAGAAUAUUUUCAUUUUAGAACUCUGUCUUGAAAAUGGUAAUAAAUAUAUACAGUAUAUACAUUUAAAUUAUUUAUUCAUUGUUUUUAAAUUAUAUAUCAAUAUUUUCAGAUGUUGAUAUUUUGUCUAUCCUUAUGGCACCAUGAUGCACAUUUGUUUAUUUUUUUCCUUUAACCUUUUAGAAAUUGUGUUUACUUCUGUUCAGUUCACUCCAAUGGAUGGAGUUGUGGACCCUGAAGAUUGUAGGCUUAAAUAUCUUUCUAAAUGAUCUAAAUAUCAUGGGGGGGUUUUAUUGACAUAAUUUGUUUCUAAUAUUUAAUUACCGUUAUAUAUAUAAAUUAGGUUUCAACAUCUCCAACAUCAAUGAUGUAUCAAACUAGGACACUUUUAUUGCAAUAUCGGAUUUCUCUGUGUUUUUUGUUUUUUUUCAUUUUUAAGCAAAUAUCCAGUACUGGAUCAGUUAUAAAUAUAAAAAUUUUGUUAAUCUUUUUCAAACUAUCUCUCUACAAAACCAGUUAAUGUAACUACUAUUCAAGAAGUUCAGCUUUACUUUAGGUUGAUUCUUUAACAAGUUAUCAAAUAAUUUUUUUUUUCAAUAGUUCUCAAAAAGAAAAUGGGACUAACUUUUACUUAUGAAAACGGAGUUAUGAAAUCUGUCUGUUUGUGAAAUUGGCUACUUAGUUUUAUAAUAGUUCUCAUAAAGAUUGAAUCUGAGUAGCUAAAAAGGUGUAAAGUUUUGAUAUUUGGAAAUAACAAAAUGGUUACUAACAGAACUGUAUAUUUAUAUGGCUAAAAAAAAAGAUGAUAUGGUGAUUGCUCUGUUUUGUGAUUGGUCAAUUUGUUUUCAAAUUGUCAGACUUUGGGCUGAUUCAGAUAGUAGAAAUAGUUCAAGGACAAAUGUGCAAUAUUUCACAUACUUUUUGUAUUAGUCAUUGGCAAAAACUCUGUAUCGAUGAGAUCUGAUACGUCUUGAUGGGCUUUCAGUCUGAGAUGAUUUCAUCUUUAAUGAUUCAAUAGAUUUGUGCAAUCACUGGUUAUCUAGUCUAUACAUUUUAUAAUCAAGUAUUUUGAGUUUUAGAAACAUGUAUUUAUACAUAUAAGUAUCAUGGAUGAACCGUUUUCUUUUUAAAAUAUCACAAAAUGAUAUUUUAUUUUUAGGUGUUUGUGAUAUAUUGGUAUACAGCAUUUUGUUUUUAUAUCUUCACUUUAGAUUUGACUGUUGUACUUAGAAUGGAAUCUCAAAGUUGAUCAUUUAUUUAUUUAUUUACCUCAGAAUCUCAAGAUUCUUUGCAAGUUCAUUCAAUAAAAUUCAUGUAAAUCUUAGCGAUGUGACCAGGUUUGUUUGUUAACACAUUCUUGAACUCAGUGUAUUGGAGAAACCCUAACAGGAUGAAUCUCUGAAAUGUUCGAUUCUUAGUUGAGGUACUUGGUCUUGUAACCUAACCACCGUCAUAUAUUUGUGUUUCAAUUAGACAUAGGCUGGUCUUAUCCUAAACAGUUUUUAGCCUUUAGCUCAUACAUUUACUUCGACAGACUACUAAUAAAAUAUCACUUCUUAAUUAACAUCAUAAGAUAAUGUCAACUGUUUAUCUAGUUUUUGUUUUUAAAUUAUUUUUUCUUUGUAUUUACAAAGUUUACAAAAAUAAUGUUUCAUUUCUAUGACUAGAAUCAUGUUAUUGCUGGUUUGAUUUUAACACAUAUUUUUUGUUUAUAUCCUUAAGAUUGACAUUUUAGCCUAAUUGUAAAAUAUUUUUAAAUGUCAGAUUUUUUAGUAGAAGCUAUGGAAAAUAAUUGUUUAAUAUUGAAAUAUGAUUGUAGAGGUUAUGAAGACUUAAAAAAGAAAUAGCCUAUUUUUAAAUACAUUGUUUGUUUUUUACUUUUUUUUCUUUCAAUAUCUGACAACAAAAAUAUUUGCCAUUGUUUUGAAACGUGACGUGUAUUCAACUAGUCUAUUGUCAUGCGUUCCAUGGCCUUUUACACCGUCCCUCAUAAAAUGUUUUACAUGGAUGUUCCUUCAGAAUGGAAGAAAAUCUACAUCCUAGUCCCAAACCUCCUGAAGGACAAUGGGGGAUGGCAGUGGGCAGUGUAUGAACCCGGCACCAUCGAAAUGACUGAACGACAGUUCAGCACGCAUACUGCAUAACCAGGCAACUAUCCUAUUGUGGUGCAACACAGUUCUUUGACAUACUCAAUGAAAUGUCAGAAGUGACCUUAAAUCUUAUUGGUCUGCUUGGCCUUGAACUUGAGAACUUCAAUGUGGUAAAUUUGAAAAUUCGUGGAAUCAAUAAUUGCUGAGACUUUAGAUGUUUCAUGAGAGCAAGAUUUUAGUUUGCGCUACCACUUUGACUGCUGUAUGCCAUUAAAUAACACAGUUCAUAGCAUUUCCUACUGUGUCUCUGCAUGAUGGUCUUUUUUGAAGUAAUGUCUGUGUAAUAUAAGAUAAGAUAAGGAUAACAUGGAACGCAUAACAUGCAAUUUAAGUCAAGAUAAAGAAUUACUUUUUAAGAUACGUAUCUUUUAGUUUAAAAAAUCUUUUUAGUCAAAUAUAGAAUUUUUUAUAGAACUUUGUUAACUUUGUAUUUUUAGAUUGGUUUUUAUUCUGUUCAGUCAAAUGUUACAAUUUAAGGUUAGUCUAAAUUUCAUGUCAAGUGAAAAGUAUUAUUUGUGCAAUAUAUCAUGUAUUGAUUUAUAGUUUCUGUAUCUCUUACAAUUGUAGUAUUGGAGUAAAAUGAAGUAAAGGUCAGCUAAUCCUCACUAUAGCAACAUCUAAGUAGGUCAACACAUUGUUUACUUGUAUAUAUUGUGACAUAAGCUCAAAGAGUUUAUUUUUAGACCAGAUGUGGACAACUUGUGAAGGAAUUAGUUGAACUCUAUUUUUGUAAGAACACAUGUGCUAUAUCAAGGCACCUGAGCAAGCUUUAUCUCCCUUUUUGCCUGUCUCACUUCCCUAAGUUAACUCUUGUUAUCUGCCCCUAGCCCUUUUUUUUUUUUAAAAGUUUUUUCUUUAUUUAUCUUUUAAAUUUUCUUUCAAGUCCUGAUUCAAUUUUGGAUUUGUUGAUGUGCAAUAAAUAUUGAAAUAAUAACAUGCCCUUAUUGAUACAUA